AGCUAAAGCUAGCCCACCACACUAUACACCCAACUAACAAAACACAUGUAAAAUAAAACAUUCACGACCCGCCCUUAAAGUAUAGGUGAUAGAAAUAUGACUACAGGCGCUAUAGAGAAAGUACCGCAAGGGAACGAUGAAAGAAGAAUUUACAGCACUAAAAAGCAAAGAUAAACCCUUUUACCUUUUGCAUAAUGAUUUAACCAGAACAUCUUGGCAAAGAGACCUUAAGUCAAGUCCCCCGAAACCAANNNNANCUACCUANGAACAGUUUAAAAGAACCAACCCGUCUAUGUGGCAAAAUAGUGGGAAGAUUCGCAGGUAGAGGUGAAAAGCCUACCGAGCCUGGUGAUAGCUGGUUGUCCAGGAUAGAAUUUUAGUUCAACCUUAAAUUUACUAAAAGCACCCACAAUUCCACCGUAAAUUUAAGCGUUAGUCUGAGAAGGUACAGCUCCUCAGACACAGGGAACAACCUUAACUAGAGAGUAAGAAGAUACAAAUUCCCCAUAGUUGGCCUAAAAGCAGCCAUCAAUUAAGAAAGCGUUAAAGCUCAACGGCACCCGCACAAUCCAAUACCAAUAAUUGNCAUAUCCAACUCCUAGUGUAAUACUGGACUAAUCUAUUAAAUUAUAGAAGCAAUACUGUUAAUAUGAGUAACAAGAAACAAUUUCNNNUNNCACAAGCNUAUAUCAGAACGGAUGCCCGCUGAUAGUUANNNNNNNNACAAGAACAAGCUAAGACUUAACCACUUGUCAAGUCAACUGUUAACCCAACACAGGAGUGCCAACAGGAAAGAUUAAAAGGAGUGAAAGGAACUCGGCAAACACCAGCCCCGCCUGUUUACCAAAAACAUCACCUCUAGCAUAAACAGUAUUAGAGGCACUGCCUGCCCAGUGACNACUCGUUCAACGGCCGCGGUAUCCUGACCGUGCAAAGGUAGCAUAAUCACUUGUUCUCUAAAUAAGGACUCGUAUGAAUGGCCGCACGAGGGCUGUACUGUCUCUCACUCCCAAUCAGUGAAAUUGACCUUCCCGUGAAGAGGCGGGAAUAAAAUAAUAAGACGAGAAGACCCUAUGGAGCUUUAAUUACUUAAUCCAAAGAGANCACACAACCAACCCAAACGGGAAUAAAAUAUUUCUUAGUGGAUUGACAAUUUCGGUUGGGGUGACCUCGGAGAACAAGACAACCUCCGAGUGAUAAAAGUUCAGACUAACCAGUCAAAACCUNUCUAUCACAUAUUGAUCCAAGUUAUUGAUCAACGGAACAAGUUACCCNAGGGAUAACAGCGCAAUCCUAUUCUAGAGUCCAUAUCGACAAUAGGGCUUACGACCUCGAUGUUGGAUCAGGACACCCCAAUGGUGUAACCGCUAUUAAAGGUUCGUUUGUUCAACGAUUAAAGUCCUACGUGAUCUGAGUUCAGACCGGAGUAAUCCAGGUCGGUUUCUAUCUAUUUGUAAAUUUCUCCCAGUACGAAAGGACCAGAGAAAUAGGGCCCACUUUAACAAAAGCGCCCUCGGGCCAAAAGAUGAUCUACUCUUAACCUAACUAACCACACAACCCACUCGCCCUAGAACAGGGCCC
rnacentral:rRNA from 1 species